CCCUUAGAUGUCCGGGGCUGCACGCGCGCUACACUGAAUGAAUCAGCGUGCUAGAAAACCUUGUUUGACAUGGCUAGGUAACCCAUUGAAAAUCAUUCGUGAUUGGGAUCGGGACUUGCAAAUGUGUCCCUUGAACGAGGAAUUCCCAGUAAGUGCGGGCCAUCAGCUCGCGUUGAUUACGUCCCUGCCCUUUGUACACACCGCCCGUCGCUACUACCGAUUGAAUGGUUUAGUGAGAUUUUUGGACUGGAACUCUCUUGUUCAGCAAUGAACGAGAGGGACUCUGGGAAGCUAUUCUAACUGUAUCAUUUAGAGGAAGUAAAAGUCGUAACA
rnacentral:rRNA from 1 species